UACGUAGGUGGCGAGCGUUGUCCGGAUUUACUGGGCGUAAAGAGCGCGCAGGCGGUCGUCCAAGUCGCGUGUGAAAGCCCCCCGGCUCAACUGGGGAGGGUCACGCGAUACUGGUCGACUCGAAGGCAGGAGAGGGUAGUGGAAUUCCCGGUGUAGUGGUGAAAUGCGUAGAUAAUCGGGGAGGAACACCAGUGGCGAAGGCGGCCUGCUGGGACAGUGCUGACGCUGAGGCGCGACAGCGUGGGGGAGCAAACAGG
rnacentral:rRNA from 1 species